GCUGGGCAUGGUGGUGUGUGCCUGUAGUCCCAGCUACUCGGGAGGCUGAGGCAGGAGAAUUGCUUGAACCCAGGAGGUGGAGGUUGCAGUGAGCUGAGAUCGUGCCAUUGCACUCCAGUCUGGGUAACAACAGCGAAAUUUCGUCUCAAAAAAAUAAAAAAUGGCAUUCAGUUUAUUGUUGUUGUGCGUUUUUUGUGUGUUUUUGUUUUUGUUUUUGAGACAAAGUCUCACUCUGUCGCCCAGGCUGGAGUGCAGUAGCACAAUCUUGGCUCACUGCAACCUCCGCCUCCUGGGUUCAAGCGAUUCUUCUACCUCAG
ensembl:misc_RNA Metazoa_SRP Metazoan signal recognition particle RNA